CUUUAUUACUUUAUCCUUUGAUCUUCAUUGAAGAAAAUCUGAAACAAUUAAAAUGUGAGCAUCUUUUUUAGAUGUCAUGAUGAUAGGUGGAGUAUUCUUAAUUAUUGCUUUCAGCAAACCGGUGCCCAUAAAGUGUUUCCCAUUAAAUCAAUGAGAGGCAUUAAGGCUGAGAUUAAACGGUUGAACUUGAACUAGAUAAUUCUAGCGGAAAGAAUUGCUCUUUUUAUUACGUCGU
rnacentral:misc_RNA from 1 species